CCAUCUUACUGUCCCACAGCUGUCCGGCGUGUUCUUCUCAACUGUGGGAUUCCAGAGACUGCGACAUGGAAAGGGAGAAUUAUAUUGAGAGAAAAGGGGCAUGGCGUGUACUGAAUGUAUAUCCGGCAUGGAUCCAGACAGCUAGCUAUGGCACUGAGCUGAAAUGAAAAAUGAGCUGAAUCUAUCACCCGCAUGUAUUACAUUCCCCCAUACUAAAGACUGCUGAAAAUAGAUUUUAGUAGAAUGUUCUCUUGCUUUAACAACAACCUCCUUUUCUUCUUAUUUGUGUAUCCAUCCCCUGUAUUAAAGAAUCUCUGUAUUACAGAAUAUACCAACAAAACUGUGAUGUUGUAUGUACUGACUGUUUUUAUCCUGCAAUAAACCCCAGGUACAGCUCUCAUUUAUUAUGCAUAUUAAUAAAACAUUGUGAACAA